GGAAACUAGGGCUAAUACCGGAUACGCCCUUAUGGGGAAAGGUUUACUGCCGGAAGAUCGGCCCGCGUCUGAUUAGCUAGUUGGUGGGGUAACGGCCUACCAAGGCGACGAUCAGUAGCUGGUCUGAGAGGAUGAUCAGCCACACUGGGACUGAGACACGGCCCAGACUCCUACGGGAGGCAGCAGUGGGGAAUAUUGGACAAUGGGCGCAAGCCUGAUCCAGCCAUGCCGCGUGAGUGAUGAAGGCCUUAGGGUUGUAAAGCUCUUUUAUCCGGGACGAUAAUGACGGUACCGGAGGAAUAAGCCCCGGCUAACUUCGUGCCAGCAGCCGCGGUAAUACGAAGGGGGCUAGCGUUGCUCGGAAUCACUGGGCGUAAAGGGCGCGUAGGCGGCGUUUUAAGUCGGGGGUGAAAGCCUGUGGCUCAACCACAGAAUGGCCUUCGAUACUGGGACGCUUGAGUAUGGUAGAGGUUGGUGGAACUGCGAGUGUAGAGGUGAAAUUCGUAGAUAUUCGCAAGAACACCGGUGGCGAAGGCGGCCAACUGGACCAUUACUGACGCUGA
rnacentral:rRNA from 1 species